rnacentral:rRNA from 1 species
UCCAAAGGUCAGACCUCCUUGUCAAAGCCUGAUCUCGUGAGCUCUCAGAAGCUAAGCAGAGCUGGGCCUAGUUAGUUCUUGGAUGUGAGACCGCUGGGAAAACACUUGGUGGUUGAGGGGC